GACGAACGCUGGCGGCGUGCUUAACACAUGCGAGUCGAACGGAAAGGCCCUGCUUUUGUGGGGUGCUCGAGUGGCGAACGGGUGAGUAACACGUGAGUAACCUGCCCUUGACUUUGGGAUAACUUCAGGAAACUGGGGCUAAUACCGGAUAGGAGCUCCUGCUGCAUGGUGGGGGUUGGAAAGUUUCGGCGGUUGGGGAUGGACUCGCGGCUUAUCAGCUUGUUGGUGGGGUAGUGGCUUACCAAGGCUUUGACGGGUAGCCGGCCUGGGAGGGUGACCGGCCACAUUGGGACUGAGAUACGGCCCAGACUCCUACGGGAGGCAGCAGGGGGGAAUAUUGCACAAUGGGCGGAAGCCUGAUGCAGCAACGCCGCGUGCGGGAUGACGGCCUUCGGGUUGUAAACCGCUUUCGCCUGUGACGAAGCGUGAGUGACGGUAAUGGGUAAAGAAGCACCGGCUAACUACGUG
rnacentral:rRNA from 1 species